AUGGGGAUCAUACUGAGCUGUUGUGUGCACCCCAAGGUCAGCCCCGAGUCGGACCAGGAUGAGGGGUCAGGGUGUCCUCCUGACUCUGAAAUCUGUGAGGCAGCAGCUGAGGACACGACAGCAGCAGCAGCAGCGCCCACGGCUACUGCCGUAGCACCUGUGGACUUGACUGUUGAAGCUGGUGAGGGCCUUCCUGUGCAGGACAUCUGUGAUGGGGAGAUACCUGAAGCACAAGAAAUAGGAGAAAACAGCGGUACAAACCAUAAAUAUACGGAUCUAUUUUCUUGGAAAUUCAAUUCAUGCUCAACAAUUUUCCUUGAGGACAACACAGCCAUCUGCCCUCAUUUUCACAUGACACUAAAAUCAGAUGCAGAUAGAACUUUUGAAGUAUUUGACGAACGUAUAUACCCACUUAACCAAGGAGAGGUUCUGGAAGAAGACUUUAUGUCUGAUCCUCCACACAGAAAAAUUUUCACCUUUAUGGUUACUCUGUUUUGUGUCAAAAGGCUAGAUGCUGACUCAGCAAUCAGAAGUUUGGUAUACAUACGACGACUUGUAGAGUGUGCUGAUAUCGACAUUUGUCCAACCAACUGGAGGAGGAUUAUCUUCGGAGCCAUUCUUGUCAUCAAAAGUGUGAUCCAUGAGGUUUUGUGCGAUGAGUACUUCUGCAAGCUCUUUGAGAAAACUACAGUUGGGGAUAUGUGAGUUUGUUCAGUUUUUGUGAACUUUCUAACCAUUUUUGAAUACUUUAUUUGCUCCCAUAAACUUAAACACUUUGAGAAAUGCUUUUAAAGGUUACAUUAUGCAGAUAAUAAGAAUAGGCAUAAAUACCACCUACUCUUUCUCCCCAGCUUUAGAAGAACAGUUCAUAUUUUUCACUAUUCAUUGGUAGGUCUUGGUAAAGUGCUAUUGUAAUAAUCUCAUAAAUGGAAAAGUAUUUUUCUGGUGCAUAUUUUUGGCAAAUAUCUUACCAGUGUACAAUGAGAAACAUAAUAGUACAGUCAAUUUCCUUAGGGCUUUUUACAAGCUGUCUGCAAGUUCCAGUCUCUUUGUAAGGAGCACAUGUCUGGCCUUUGAAAUAAUUGUUUGGCCAUUGACAGGUCUGGGGCCUCUGGAUUGUGAAGUAUAGCUUCACCCUGAGUCAUACAUUGUGUAUUUGCGUUUGCUGGUGUUCUCCCAGCUUUUCUCUGAAGAUCUGUUUUAUAGAAACCUUGAGAUACAGAAUAGCCACAGAUCCCUGUGCCCCUGUCCUCUCCCUCUUCAGAGUGUUGCAUCAUUGGGCUGAUGAGUUAGAAGUUCCAGUGUUCCCCUCAGGCAGUCUGAGAAACAUUGCUGGAGCAUCACCCAAUGCUCGCCACACUCAGGAGAUUCCCAGCUCAUUAAUGCAACCACAGCAGCACUUGGGGGGCCCCGAGUUAUCUAUGAGAAUGCAAGAAAUCUUGCUGAAUCAUGGGGUUGCUUAUAGAUUGCAACAUGACACUGAAACAGGAGCUUCAUGGGUCUUUCUUUCAGUGUGACCUCAUGACUGCUGUAAAGGGAAGGGUCUUGGAGCUGGUUGGUAGGGUGAGCCAAGGAGGCAUUUCCAGCACAGACUCUCACAGUGUCCACUAGACAGCGAGAAUGGCAUUGUGGGUGACACUUAGGAAAAUCUGAAGGAACACCUGUUGAUGACAUAGAAGCAUAUGAAGAUGAAGAUCCUCGGGCAGUGGCAAGAGGUUUUUUUUGUUUUGUUUUGUUUUUUGUUUGUUUGUUUGUUUGUUUUUGCGUUUGCCUAUUACUCCAGAUAAGACUGUGAUUCAGGAUGUAUGCAGUCACAAAUAGAAGUCUCUGCCAAUUGUGCUCCCCACAGGAAUAACAACUUUAGCAACUCUCUAAAUCAAAAAGCACCACAAUAAGAACUGAAAAUUAUUUAAAUGUUCAUAUGAUGUGGUUUUAAUGCCAUAUCAGUGAAAGAGGCACUGAACAGCAUAGAAAACUGUAAACUUUUCUGUAUUUGGUAAUCUACCAGGGUUCCAAUCCAAUGUGCUUUCUUAUAUUUAUAAGGUCUAUCUCCAGUGUGUAUUAUCAUGGGUCUUGAGCAAAUAUCAUGUAAAUGAAGGCAUUUCUACAUUCUAUACAUUCAUAGGUUUUAUUUCAGAAAUGAGUUCUUAUCUUCCUGUGGAACUGGAACAACUGAAGACCUUACCACAUGUUUCUAUUUAUAAGGAAUUUCCCAUUGAAUCCUUUCAUGUUUUCAAAGAAAUAAAAAAGCUGAAGCCUUUACCAUGUUUCUUAAGAUUAUGUCAUUUUUCUCCAUAUUACAUGUGAAUAUGUCUUUGAAAGCAUAGGGGAAAAUCAAGUUUAUUAACACAUUUUUUGCAUUCUUGUUUCAUUUCCGGUACAAGUUUUUUCCUGAGAUUUCAAAGGGAACUGGGAAAGUUGCAUGCUUUCUUGUAUUUCUUUGCUAGAUUGAGUUCUGUCCAGUGUGAGUUAUUUGAUGAAUACUAAUAAACUAGAGCACAUGAUGGCUUUACCACAUUUCUUACAUAAGAAUAAUGUUUUUGAAGAUAGCCCCGUGAACUAACACGGUCCUGUGUUGGUUUUGUUGUGUUUCUCCUUCCCCAGGUAUAGGUUGAAAAGAUCCUUCUUGGAGCUAAUUAAUUAUAAUACCAACAUUCCUGAAAGCGUUUUUACCGGAUACUAUUUCUAUCUCCGUCACUUGGCAUUCAGUCAUGGCCUGGGUAUGCCACCUUACCUUCUUGACAGAGCAAGAGCAUGGAAACUGCACGUAAGGCUAUGAAGUUACUAAGUGGGUUUUCAGUCAAACACCAGUGCUAACAUUUGUGACUAGGUCAUAUUAAGUAGUGAUUAGAAAAAUGGAAAGCUUCAAAAUUAACAUACUGAAGAGCUUAUUAACCUUUUGNNNNNNNNNNGGUAUAUCUGCUAGGAAGAGAAAGGA
ensembl:lincRNA